UACGAAGGGGGCUAGCGUUGCUCGGAAUCACUGGGCGUAAAGCGCACGUAGGCGGAUUCCUAAGUCGGGGGUGAAAUCCUGGAGCUCAACUCCAGAACUGCCUUCGAUACUGGGAAUCUUGAGUCCGGAAGAGGUGAGUGGAACUGCGAGUGUAGAGGUGAAAUUCGUAGAUAUUCGCAAGAACACCAGUGGCGAAGGCGGCUCACUGGUCCGGUACUGACGCUGAGACGCGAAAGCGUGGGGAGCGAACAGG
rnacentral:rRNA from 1 species